rnacentral:rRNA from 1 species
UACGUAGGGUGCGAGCGUUGUCCGGAAUUAUUGGGCGUAAAGAGCUCGUAGGCGGUUUGUUGCGUCGGCUGUGAAAGUCCGAGGCUCAACCUCGGAUCUGCAGUGGGUACGGGCAGACUAGAGUGUGGUAGGGGAGACUGGAAUUCCUGGUGUAGCGGUGGAAUGCGCAGAUAUCAGGAGGAACACCAAUGGCGAAGGCAGGUCUCUGGGCCACAACUGACGCUGAGGAGCGAAAGCAUGGGGAGCGAACAGG